GCCCGGGUGGCCCAGUCAGUUGAGCAUCCGACUUCGGCUCGGGUUGUGAUCUCGAGGUUCGUGAGUUCAAGCCUUGCAUCGGGCU
rnacentral:tRNA from 1 species